rnacentral:rRNA from 1 species
UAACGCGUGAGGAACCUGCCUUGAAGAGGGGGACAACAGUUGGAAACGACUGCUAAUACCGCAUGACGCAUAGAGGUCGCAUGAUCUUUAUGCCAAAGAUUUAUCGCUUCAAGAUGGCCUCGCGUCUGAUUAGCUAGUUGGCGGGGUAACGGCCCACCAAGGCGACGAUCGGUAGCCGGACUGAGAGGUUGAACGGCCACAUUGGGACUGAGACACGGCCCAG